rnacentral:rRNA from 1 species
UACAGAGGGCGCGAGCGUUUGUCCGGAUUUACUGGGCGUAAAGCGCGCGUAGGCGGAUCGCUAAGUCAGGGGUGAAAUCCCAGGGCUCAACCCUGGAACUGCCUUUGAUACUGACGAUCUGGAGAUCGGGAGAGGUUGGUGGAAUUCCGAGUGUAGAGGUGAAAUUCGUAGAUAUUCGGAGGAACACCAGAAGCGAAGGCGGCCAACUGGCCCGAUACUGACGCUGAGGCGCGAAAGCGUGGGGGGACGAAACAGG